CACCAACCCGACGAGCAUCAUUUUCGUCGGUGCAUAGAGGAAAGCUGUAGGUGAAGCCGCAGGAACCCUCUUUGCCUGACAGGAGCUUUACAAAGGAAGGUCAGUCACCAGGUACCCAUUACGCAGGCAAAGGAAGCUGAGACUCAUGCAAAGCCUCUGGCAAAGGUGGAAACAAAACCUCGGGCUGUGAUCCUGCAUUAAAAGCCGUCUGGAUCUGCCUGCCUGGAGCUCCUUACAGAUCAGCAGUCUGGGACUGGACCGGUGAAGACGUAACUCCCUUUGUGCCUGCUGUUACUGCUGAACCCCCAAAACGCUGCCUCUCGCUGCUGCGGGUGCCACCCAGACCUCUCCCACCGCAGCACUUGGUCGCAGCAGGGCUCAACACCCGGCUACUCCCACUGAUGUCUCGAGGACGAGGCAAGAGGCUACUGAUGCUUCUGAUCCCAGCCUGCCUCCCUGCAGGGGGAGACACAAGAGGAGAUGUGGAGAAGUGUUGGAGAAGAGCAGAGGACAAAGCUAGAGGAGCGGGCUGCUACAGAAACCAGCUUCACUUCUUGGCAUCGCAUUCUGCUGCAGCGUGGCUCCAGAGCAUUUGUCAGAUACCGAACUGCAGGUUCCAGUCCUGCUGA
rnacentral:lncRNA from 12 species